GAAAUAGUGUCAAUGCAAUGUUAAAGAUUCUCUCUUUCUCUUUUUUCUACUGGUUACAAAUUAUGGGAAUGGUAAUUUUCAAUAAACCAUAAAGGUUCUCUUCACAACUGUUAAAAAAUUAUUGGGGAUGUUAAGAAAUAUGAAAGUUGAUUUUGUUUAAGAUUAUUUGAUCUGUGGAUGAUGGUACCAGGAAAAAGAUAAAGCGAGAUGUAUAUUUUGUCUACAAUUUGUAUGGAAGUUGUUUUAUUGAUUCCCUUCUUACUUGUUUUUGGUGCUUUUUGUUAAAAUACCAAACAUUUUGUGUUCACAACUAUAUUAUCUUUUUGUUUACAUAUCUGAGAUUAUUUGUAAGAAGUGUGUUACCUCUACCUCUUUGUAAACUUGUUGACUGUGUGACAAUUAAGUAGAAGGAUUGUAUUAAGGCCAUGGUUUUUUAAUUUGUUGGUUAAAGGAUCUUCCCCAUGAAAAAGUCGGGUCGGUUGGUUGGAAAAAAAAGGAAAAAAAGUAUCACUCAAGACAGAAAAAGAUGCAAAAUAAAUAUAUAUUUCACCUUUCUAACAAUAUAUUUGUCAUAAUUUCUUAAAUUUUAGUUCAAUGAAAUAGUAUUGCUCAACUGUCAUAAACAUUGUUUAUAAUUUCCCGUAAAAAAGGGGGGGGUGCACAGACAAAGAAGAAAAAUAAUAGUCAUUUCACAAACAAGAAAAACAGAUUCGAUUAGCUCUUAAUCAAUUACAGAAAACAUGGUGAAUAAUGAUCUUCAAGCACGAAAACUGAUAAAGAAAAAAAAUGUAAAAACGUCGUACGAAAAUAAAAUUCAACACACGUGUCAAGAACGUAAUAGACUCGUCCACUGGAAAAACGAGAAUAUCGGGUUAAUCUGUUGUCAUGCAUUCACGUUUUUUAUCCAAAUAGACAAUAUUUUUUUCAUUUUCUAUGAAACACGCGAGUUCCAAAUGAUUUGUUAAUAUUCAGUACUUUAACUUGAUGUCUUUUACCUGUCCACAUUUGGACAAGUCUAUUUCUAUGAGAUGAUGCAUCUUACGGAUUGAUGACAAAUAAGGGAAACAAACUUAUUUUUAAAUGGUUUUAAACACAGGUUUCAAGGCCAGCUAUGUUUAUUUUUAAAAACGUAAACUUGAACUGUAACAGAAAGUGUUUUGUUAGUGAUUAAUGAAUUUCAUUUCAUAAAAAAAGAAUAUUUUAAUUAUUUUUCAGGGAUAAUGUAUUUGUUAGGGUCGGCGGGAAUAAAUAAAGCAUGAAAAGUGAAUUUUAUUUUUGUUCUGGAAAUCGGCAAAAUCGUGUCGGCGGAUCCGUAAACCAACAAAUUAAAAAAUCCUGGCCUAAGUUAUAACAUAUCUGUGGACACAUAUUUUGUUACAAAUGAAGUUCAUUAUGAUGUUAACAAAUAUUUCAUGGCCCAUCACAUUGUAUUAUAAUAUAUAGAUCUAAUAAGUCUGAUACUGAAGAUGAAUAUAUAUAUAUGACUUGUGUUGCUUCUAUGGAGAAAAUGAUAUCCACUGUUUUGUAUAUUUAAACAUAUUGCAC
rnacentral:lncRNA from 1 species